rnacentral:rRNA from 1 species
CCUACGGGCGGCAGCAAUUAGGAAUAUUACACAAUGGGGGCAACCCUGAUGUAGCGACACAGCGUGGAGGAAGAAGGUUCUCGGAUCGUAAACUCCUUUUAUAUGGGACGAAUAGAUGACGGUACCAUAUGAAUAAGUACCUGCUUACUACGUGCCAGAAGCAUCGGUGAUGCGUAGGGUACAAACGUUAUCCGGCUUUAUUGGGCGUAAAGAGAAGCGUAGGCGUUUUUGUAAGUCUUGAGUUAAAGACCACGGCUCAACCGUGGAAGAGCUUUCGAGACUGCAAGAAUUGAGACAGGAAUGGGCGAAUGGAAUUCCGAGUGGAGCGGUGAAAUGCGUUGAUAUGCGGAGGAACAUCAGUGGCGAAGGCGAUUCGCUGGUCCUUGUCUGACGCUAAGGCUCGAAAGCGUGGGUAGCAAAAC